GCGCUGCUUCAAAGACGGUGAUGGCGUGCUGCCAUUUUACAGCUUCACUCGAUACCGGCGGAGCAAAAGAAAAUGUCCUCGAACGUCGUGGUUCUCGACAACGGUGGCGGUCUAAUUAAGGCAGGUAUCGGCGGUGAGCGUGAUCCAACAACCGUAGUCCCAAACUGCACUGCUCGACCGCUUUCCUCCAAGAAAUUCCUGCUAGCGGACCAACUUCUGUCUCCAACGGAAGACCUAACCUCCGCCGUUCUCCGUCGUCCCUUCGACCGCGGUUACCUCAUCAACCAAGACCUCCAAUCGACCAUCUGGUCACACAUCUUCUCUUCUCUCCUACACGUCACACCUUCCUCCUCGUCACUCCUCCUCACCGAACCCUUAUUCAACCUCCCUUCAAUCCAACGCGCCACCGACGAAAUCGUCUUCGAGGAGUUCAAUUUUCAAUCACUGUUCGUCUCCGAUUCACCGUCUCUAGUUCACUUAUACGAGGCCAGUAGACGCCCUUACGACGUCGUGUCGAAGGCGCAAUGUAGCCUAGUGGUGGACGUAGGGUUCAGUUUCACUCACGUAGCCCCGGUUUUCCAGAACUUCACUGUGAAUUACGGCGUGAAGAGGAUGGAUUUGGGCGGGAAGGCAUUGACGAAUUACUUAAAAGAACUAGUGAGCUAUCGGUCUAUUAAUGUCAUGGAUGAAACCUUCUUAAUGGAUGAUGUCAAAGAAAAACUAUGCUUUGUUUCAACAGAUGUCGCUCGUGAUUUGCAGAUAGCUAGGAGACGUGGAAAUGACAAUUACUUUAGGUCUACAUAUGUGCUUCCUGAUGGAAUCACACACAUAAAGGGAUUCGUGAAAGACCCUGUUGAAGCACAAAGACAUCUUACAUUAUCUGAAAAUGGUGAACUCCCACACGAAGGAACUGAAGAAGACGAUCAAACAGAAGUUAAAAGCAAACCAACAGAAAGAAACAAAGUCGAUCUUACCAAAAAUGAAUUCAGCUUGAGCAAUGAGCGAUUUCUUGUCCCUGAAAUGAUCUUUCGUCCAGCAGAUUUGGGAAUGAAUCAAGCUGGAUUGGCAGAAUGUAUUGUAAGGGCUGUCAAUUCAUGUCAUCCUCAUCUUCAUCCUGUGCUGUAUGAAAGUAUAAUUUUAACGGGUGGAAGCACGUUAUUUCCAAAUUUUGCCAAAAGACUAGAAAGUGAGCUGCGACCUCUUGUUCCGGAUGUGUACCAAGUGAAAAUAACAACUCAAGAAGAUCCCAUAUUGGGGGUGUGGCGAGGGGGAUCACUAUUGGCUUCUAGUCCUGAUUUUGAUGCAAUGUGUGUCACAAAGGCUGAAUAUGAGGAGCUUGGGUCUUCACGUUGUCGUAGGCGAUUCUUUCAUUAGUUUAUAAUUAAUUAAAAGAUGAACAGAACCAAAAAUCGAUUCAAAUUUAGGGUUUGUUUAUGAUAUGUGGGACUGAAGUACUUCAAGAAACUGGGAAGCCACAUGAAGAAAUUAAUUGUUAAAACAUGCUAUUAUUGAAGGAAAAGAUUGAAAACCCCAUGGAAAAUGUGGAAAUGGGUCGAGGUUUGUUCAAGCAGUAACAUCAUUCUCUAGACUUUCGUUCAAAAACACAUUAUGUGGCAGUGUUUAUGGUUUAGGGAGGUGUCCUUUGUGUUCGAAGAAAUUUGAAUAGUUUUUAAUAGGAAAAUAGGCAAAAAAAUCAAGUAAUUUAGGAGGAUAUAACUUUACUUAAAUGUUAUUCAUGCCAGACAUUUAUUAAAAUAGGCAAAAAAUCAAGCGUCUUUGUUUGUAGUUGAACCAGAAUUUUGUAAAAAGUAAAAGAAGUUAUUAAAUGUUAUUGAUGCUAGACAUUUAUUGAUCGUGUGAUAUGUCGUUACAAACCUCUCUUUUGAGAAAA